rnacentral:rRNA from 1 species
UAGAGUUUGAUCCUGGCUCAGAAUUAACGAUGGCGGCGUGCCUAACACAUGCAAGUCGAACGCGAAAGCCCCGCAAGGGGUCAGUAGAGUGGCAAACGGGUGAGUAACACGUGGGUGACCUGCCUUCGAGUGGGGGAUAACGUCCCGAAAGGGGCGCUAAUACCGCAUGACAUCCUGCGUUUGGAAACGCGGACAUUAAAGCCGGGGAUCGCAAGACCUGGCGCUUGAAGAGGGGCCCGCGGCCGAUUAGCUAGUUGGUGAGGUAACGGCUCACCAAGGCAACGAUCGGUAUCCGGCCUGAGAGGGCGGACGGACACACUGGGACUGAGACACGGCCCAGACUCCUACGGGAGGCAGCAGUGGGGAAUUGUUCGCAAUGGGCGCAAGCCUGACGACGCAACGCCGCGUGGAGGACGAAGAUCUUCGGGUCGUAAACUCCUUUCGAUCGGGAAGAACGGCUUCCGGCUGAAUAGGCUGGGAGAGUGACGGUACCGAGAGAAGAAGCCCCGGCUAACUCCGUGCCAGCAGCCGCGGUAAUACGGGGGGGGCAAGCGUUGUUCGGAAUUACUGGGCGUAAAGGGCUCGUAGGCGGCGAACUAAGUCGGACGUGAAAUCCCCAGGCUUAACUUGGGAACUGCUUCCGAUACUGGAUGGCUUGAAUCCGGGAGAGGGACGCACAAUUCCAGGUGUAGCGGUGAAAUGCGUAGAUAUCUGGAGGAACACGGGUGGCGGAGGGCGGCAUCCUGGACCGGUCUUGACGCUGAGUGAGCGAAAGCCAGGGGAGCAAACGGGA